rnacentral:rRNA from 1 species
CAGCCGCCGCGGUAAUACCGGCGGCCCGAGUGGCGGUCACUAUUAUUGGGCUUAAAGCGUCCGUAGCCGGGUUGGGAAGGCCUCCGGGAAAUCUGGCCGCUUAACGGUCAGAAUGCCGGAGGAUACUCCCAGCCUAGGGAGCGGGAGAGGCCGAGGGUAUUCCCGGAGUAGGGGUGGAAUCCUAUAAUCCCGGGAGGACCACCUGUGGCGAAGGCGCUCGGCUGGAACGCGUCCGACGGUGAGGGACGAAGGCCAGGGGAGCAAACCGGAUUAGAUACCCGGGUAGUCCUGGCUGUAAACGAUGCGGACUUUGUGUCGGACAAGCUAUGAGCUUGUCCGGUGCCGGAGGGAAACCGUUAAGUCCGCCGCCUGGGGAGUACGGCCGCAAGGCUGAAACUUAAAGGAAUUGGCGGG